GGGGCCAUAGCUCAGUCAGGUAGAGCAGACGCGUGAAACCGUUUUGUCGCCGGUUCAAAUCCGGCUGGCCCCA
rnacentral:tRNA from 1 species